rnacentral:rRNA from 1 species
UGGGGAAUCUUGCACAAUGGGCGGAAGCCUGAUGCAGCGACGCCGCGUGGGGGAUGACGGCCUUCGGGUUGUAAACUCCUUUCGCCAGGGACGAAGCCGUGAGGUGACGGUACCUGGAUAAGAAGCACCGGCUAACUACGUGCCAGCAGCCGCGGUAAUACGUAGGGUGCGAGCGUUGUCCGGAAUUACUGGGCGUAAAGAGCUCGUAGGUGGUUUGUCGCGUCGUCUGUGAAAUUCCGGGGCUUAACUCCGGGCGUGCAGGCGAUACGGGCAUAACUUGAGUGCUGUAGGGGAGACUGGAAUUCCUGGUGUAGCGGUGAAAUGCGAAGAUAUCAGGAGGAACACCGAUGGCGAAGGCAGGUCUCUGGGCAGUAACUGACGCUGAGGAGCGAAAGCAUGGGUAGCGAACAGG